rnacentral:rRNA from 1 species
UGAGGAAUUUUGCGCAAUGGGGGAAACCCUGACGCAGCAACGCCGCGUGAGUGAUGAAGGCCUUCGGGUCGUAAAGCUCUGUCAGGCGGGAAGAAUCUGCCCGGUGUUAAUACCGCUGGGCAAUGACGGUACCGCUGAAGGAAGCACCGGCUAACUCCGUGCCAGCAGCCGCGGUAAUACGGGGGGUGCUAGCGUUAUUCGGAAUCAUUGGGCGUAAAGGGCGCGUAGGCGGUCUUUUAAGUCAGAUGUGAAAGCCCUCGGCUUAACCGAGGAAGUGCAUUUGAUACUAAGAGACUUGAGUAUGGGAGAGGGAAGCGGAAUUCCUGGUGUAGCGGUGAAAUGCGUAGAUAUCAGGAGGAACACCAGUGGCGAAGGCGGCUUCCUGGACCAAUACUGACGC